CUGGCAAGCAGGUUAACCCAUCCCUGCCUGCUUUCCCAGGACAGACAGCACAGGCAUUCAAGUUCUUUACAGUUUCAACAGUUCCAGCCAUCUGGCCUUCUUCAGGAAGAUGAUAAAAAACAUCAGUCUGUUUAAAAGUAUUUUUUGGAUGAAAUCGAAUGUUAGUUACUGCAACAUAUUGUAUCCAAAAGCCAAAUGAAUGAUGCUAAGAGGGAAAUCAGAGGAGCUAAAAAAACAACUAUCUGGUAAUUACAUGAAUGGGAUGCGUCUAUCUGAAUAUUUGGGGAUAAAAGAGAAAGAGUGACAGACCUUCCAGUAUUUCACUGCGCAAUGUUUCUAUUUUAACAAUGUGGAAAAUUUUGCAUUCACUGUUGUAUUCGAGAGGAGUAAGUCUUUGUAUCCCUCUUCCAGAUUGAAAAAGGUAUCCCUGUAUAAAGCUCACCCACCCAUUCUUGUUCCCCUCCAGUUGUGACUGGGUCAGGUAUGGAGGUGUGUUGCAAGAUUUGACUAAGAGAUCUUUUGGAUCAGGCAAGAAACUGAUUGUUUUAGAUGUGAAAAAUCAGUCUCAGACCUCACAGGUGCUGCCCCCUCCCCCAGCACAAACACAACCUUACUGUGGCUCGUAUCCUUAUAGCUGAUGCCCAAACCCUUUGGUAUGCAGAUCUUUAGCAACAUUGAGAUUUAAGCCAACAUUGACCAGUGAUUCUGAAUACUUCAGUUUUGGUUGCUUAUCACACUGGACUUUGUUUCAACCCUGCAGCUCCUACAGUGUUUCAACUAGAGUUGUGUAUGGCUCAGUACUGCUGAUAAUCACAAUCAGUAUGCAGCAAGGUGCCCCAAACCAAGGGCCCUACAGUUAAUGGCCACUCCUGAAAACAUGGGCCUAUAUUUUUUUUAAAUAACAUCAUUUCUUUUUGACAUUUAGAAGUGUAGCUCUUUAUACAGACAGUUUUUUCCAGGGUGGGCCCGACUCAUAGCCCCCAACAGUAAUGUAACUAGAGAAGGAUGAUUGGGGCACCUGCCUUGGGCACCAACUUGGAGGAGGGGGGAAAGGGGCUAGAAAAUAACAGCCACUGCAGCCACAAAACUGCACCCAUAGUACUGUGACAGUUGAAAGUCAGAUUAACACAUAGGUAAACUAGGCACAUGCCUAGGGCCCCGAGUGCUUAUUUUACUUAUUAUAAUUGAGUGAAAAAGUAGGGACCCAUGAGUUUGUUCACCUAGUACCCACUAAAGGGUUAAUCCAGCCCUGCCCAAAAGUCACAGCUCCCCAAGCAAUCUUGGUAUGCCUCUCCCCUCUAAGUAGGAUUGUACUACAAACAGCAAGAUUAAUCAUAAUAAGGGAGUGAAGGUAUCCAAUAUUCAACCCAUAGGUUGGGCAUGACCCCAGAACUCUCUCCUCAAGGGCACAGCUCAUGUAAUCCAUUUUGAAAGGACCUGACUGACAACUGCCCACACUCCAGUGAGAGACUGAAGAGGACCCAAAAAAGAAGCCAGGCUGGGUAUACACACCUCAUUUCCAUCCCAGCACUGCCAAGCAAUGUCCGUUUGAGCAGCCAUUGUCACAACAACACUCUGGAGUUGGGGUUCAGAGAAAAGAGGAAUCUGAGCCCCCACUCUACUCUCUGCUUCUAUCACUGCUGAACUUCCUUCUCUUAUUGGUAGCAGGGCCUUUGUUUUCACUACUAGUAGUACAAACUGAAUGCCAUGGUAUCAGCAGCUUCUUUUGUACAGGCCCUGAGUCUGCUACAAAUUUCAGAAACUGCCCAAGAUGAAUGUGGAAGCCUCUGCUUUCUCUACAGUGUGUAGGAGUGGGAGAGAGAAGUGUGAUAGGGGAAGAGAGAGGGAGCCAAAAACAUUAAGAGGACAGGGCAAGGAAAAGACAUGGUAGGUGGUGUGAUUUUUUUUCCUGAAGGCAGCUGGAAAAUGAGGGAAUUACAUACGAACAGGAAGUAAAACUUCUUGAAAGAUGGAGAGGGAGAAAGUGGAGGAAAGCAAGAGAAAAAUCCUUACAUAUGAGGCUUCCAUGUCAUUUGAUUUUACAGCAAGUCUUAUAAUAGUUUGUGAUUUUCUUAAAAGAGCCAGCUCCCGGAGUCAUGUGAUUGUCACAAUCUCUCCUUUAUUUAACAAAACAAAACAAAAAUCAUCAUGGGUCUGUACCAUCACAACUACUGGGGGAAAACUUGAAAUAGUGGUCCAAGCGUGUACCAGAACUGUUUGGUAAAAACUAACAAGAAUCCAAAACAUUUGAAAGAAAUAUAUCCUUGGGAUUUUUCCCCAGCAGUCACAUUUUGAAUGCCUGGAGGUGACUACAUUGAGAAAAAUUACAUAAGUUCAUUUUCUAUUUAGCAAUAGCUUUGUCUUCAUAUACACAACUUAGCAAAAGAGAAACGUUCUGCAAUCAGACAAGACGACGAAAUUUGCUUCUUGCCAGACUUUUCAUUUCCAGCUCUCAGUUUUGAUUGAAAUGGUAAUUUGGCUCUCACCACAGCAUCAGGCUUGAUACCCCUGAUGUAGAGCAUCAGUCUUGUUUCAUUAAGGUCACAGACCUGAACAGCAUAUUAAAAAUAUCUAGUCUAGAAAUAAUAGCUGAGAAAGCUGCUGAAGCAAAAUAACAGAUAAAAGUCCUUUUAAAUACUGAAAGUUUUGUACAACUGCGAUAAUGACCAGACUUUUUCAUAUCAUUUUGAACACACCUUUAAAACAAACCACAACAAUAGAUGCAGCUUCCUGUAUCCAUUUCCUGGUAUGAAGCAUUCUAAUUUUUUGAAAUAAAUACGCUUUGGGUUAUUUUUGUAAGGUUCAUGUUUAAUAUCAGUCCCCAAGUGUGUAAAUGUGUAGAACACACCAAAGAUUUAACAUCUGCUACGAAUAAAUAUGCAGAGGAUCUCAAGUUCUCUAUUUUAAGAUUAUUGGGAUAUUGUACAGGUGGCCAAAUUAUUAAAAUAUGGUUUGAAUUCAAUGCUCAUGCAUUUUUAUAACAUGUAUCAGAUUUUAGAAUAAUUAUAGACAUUGCUUAACAGUCUGGCAGCCACAUGUUAACGCUAGAAAACACCCAGCUGAUUUGCUGCAAGUUCAAAUGUUAAAGGCCACUUUUCAAGACAGGCGCAGACACACUAUUCACCAUUAGCCGUGGAAGGAGGCUGCUCUGCACAGCCAACUUCUUGAAACACUCUGGGUGGACUGGGUGUAGAAAGC